rnacentral:rRNA from 1 species
UUUUUAUGGAGAGUUUGAUCCUGGCUCAGGACGAACGCUGGCGGCGUGCCUAAUACAUGCAAGUCGAGCGAACAGAGAAGGAGCUUGCUCCUU